GUUGGAUUAAUGAUAGAAGAUUGAAGACCACCUAAACGAGCAAAUCCAAGAUUUGUUCUUGCUUGCUUGGGAAAAAUAAACAUGACUUAUGAGAGUGAUUGAGACCUGAUUAUUCAUUUUUAUGAAUUUUUGCAAAGAGAUUGAAGAAGUUCUAAAUUCAUUUCUUAGGAAGCAGGCUAUUUUCUUUUCUUGAGGAAAGCAGAUCAGGAAUUUGAACUUGAAAGCGAUGAAAUAAUUUAGUGUCAAGAGUUUGCUAAUUAGUGGGACUAGUAUCAAAAGUUUACUAAUUUAGAGAGGGUGCAACUUGUCUGCAGAAUAUUAAAACCAUUCGUGCCUUUAUUCCAAGAGGUUGUGUUUUGAAAAAUAUUGUUUGACCAGCUGUUGGUGGUUCUUUUACUCGAUUGCUCUGUAUUUUACUACUAUGAAGUUGCUUGCAUAAGGAAGCUCUUCCUGGAAUUGCCACACAUCUUUCUUUCAAGUGUUUCUGAAUCUUCUUCUCAUCUCCUACUUCAUAAGCGAAUGAAUGUGUA